rnacentral:rRNA from 1 species
UACGUAGGGGGCAAGCGUUGUCCGGAUUUAUUGGGCGUAAAGAGCGUGUAGGCGGCCAGACAGGUCCGUUGUGAAAACUCGAGGCUCAACCUCGAGACGUCGAUGGAAACCGUCGGGCUAGAGUCCGGAAGAGGAGAGUGGAAUUCCUGGUGUAGCGGUGAAAUGCGCAGAUAUCAGGAGGAACACCCGUGGCGAAAGCGGCUCUCUGGGACGGUACUGACGCUGAGAAGCGAAAGCGUGGGGAGCGAACAGG